rnacentral:rRNA from 1 species
UACGGAGGAUGCGAGCGUUAUCCGGAUUUAUUGGGUUUAAAGGGUGCGUAGGCGGCCUGCCAAGUCAGCGGUAAAAUUGCGGGGCUCAACCCCGUACAGCCGUUGAAACUGCCGGGCACGAGUGGGCGAGAAGUAUGCGGAAUGCGUGGUGUAGCGGUGAAAUGCAUAGAUAUCACGCAGAACCCCGAUUGCGAAGGCAGCAUACCGGCGCCCUACUGACGCUGAGGCACGAAAGUGCGGGGAUCAAACAGG